UAAUACAGAGGUGGCAAGCGUUGUUCGGAAUUACUGGGCGUAAAGGGCGAGUAGGUGGCCAUCUAAGUCAGACGUGAAAUCCCCCGGCUUAACCUGGGAACUGCGUCUGAUACUGGACGGCUUGAGUAUGGGAGAGGGAUGUAGAAUUCCAGGUGUAGCGGUGAAAUGCGUAGAUAUCUGGAGGAAUACCGGUGGCGAAGGCGGCAUCCUGGACCAUUACUGACACUGAACCGCGAAAGCUAGGGGAGCAAACGGGAUUAGAUACCCCGGUAGUCCUAGCCCUAAACGAUGAAUACUUGGUGUGGCGGGUAUCGAUCCCUGCCGUGCCGAAGCUAACGCAUUAAGUGCCCCGCCUGGGGAGUACGGCCGCAAGGCUA
rnacentral:rRNA from 1 species